rnacentral:sRNA from 12 species
UAUCGUUCCUACUGCGUAUAAUCACGAGUUGGUUAAUGGCAGUGAGCGAGGGUUAGAGCCUCUGCAACAGCAGUUCUUUCCAAUUCUUAAAGAACUGGAAUAAACUGGAAAGCAGGAAAAUCAAAGGGUGCAGCCUAAUAUGGGCAAGUAGCGAUGUCGAAAGUGCUAUGGCUGC